UACAGUGAUGAUUUUACAAAAACAAAGCUGGAAUUACUGGCUGAAUUUCAGAUGUUGAUAAGUUUUUGCACCAAGACUGAUU
rnacentral:snoRNA from 1 species